rnacentral:rRNA from 1 species
UGGGGAAUAUUGCACAAUGGGCGCAAGCCUGAUGCAGCCAUGCCGCGUGUAUGAAGAAGGCCUUCGGGUUGUAAAGUACUUUUAGCGGGGAGGAAGGGAGUAAAGUUAAUACCUUUGCUCAUUGACGUUACCCGCAGAAGAAGCACCGGCUAACUCCGUGCCAGCAGCCGCGGUAAUACGGAGGGUGCAAGCGUUAAUCGGAAUUACUGGGCGUAAAGCGCACGCAGGCGGUUUGUUAAGUCAGAUGUGAAAUCCCCGGGCUCAACCUGGGAACUGCAUCUGAUACUGGCAAGCUUGAGUCUCGUAGAGGGGAGUAGAAUUCCAGGUGUAGCGGUGAAAUGCGUAGAGAUCUGGAGGAAUACCGGUGGCGAAGGCGGCCCCCUGGACGAAGACUGACGCUCAGGUGCGAAAGCGUGGGGAGCAAACAGG